rnacentral:rRNA from 1 species
GAUGAACGCUGGCGGCGUGCCUAAUACAUGCAAGUCGAGCGAACAGACGAGGAGCUUGCUCCUCUGACGUUAGCGGCGGACGGGUGAGUAACACGUGGAUAACCUACCUAUAAGACUGGGAUAACUUCGGGAAACCGGAGCUAAUACCGGAUAAUAUAUUGAACCGCAUGGUUCAAUAGUGAAAGACGGUUUUGCUGUCACUUAUAGAUGGAUCCGCGCCGCAUUAGCUAGUUGGUAAGGUAACGGCUUACCAAGGCAACGAUGCGUAGCCGACCUGAGAGGGUGAUCGGCCACACGGGAACUGAGACACGGUCCAGACUCCUACGGGAGGAAGCAGUAGGGAAUCUUCCGCAAUGGGCGAAAGCCUGACGGAGCAACGCCGCGUGAGUGAUGAAGGUCUUCGGAUCGUAAAACUCUGUUAUUAGGGAAGAACAAAUGUGUAAGUAACUAUGCACGGAUUGACGGUACCUAAUCAGAAAGCCACGGCUAACUACGUG